GUGGACCUUUUCAUCAAAGGAGCUCAAAGGAGGUCAGUGUCACUACCCAUUUACAGAUGCAGAAACCGAGGCACAGGACUGAAGGAAUUUUGUUACAGCCAUCAGGAAGUGAAGAACCCAAGAACAGAUCCUUAGUCAAGUACAUUCUGUGCUAAAAUAUGUCACUUGGCAAACAUAAGUGCGAAUUUACGAAUGGCACCUGAGACAAGGCACAUCUUACUGCAGCAGCACAGGGGUACCUCCUCAUCGUGCUCUCCAUGGACUCAUCUGAAAGAGACAAUGAUGCGACCACACAGCGUGGGUACAAACCAGAGGUGAUGGAAGAGCACAGCUGAGCUAGGCAAAUGGAGAGAUGUUCCAAGCUAUUUACAGCCUCCUGCGCUGGAAGGAGAAAUUACUCUUUGGGGACUGUUCUUGCAUCUCUUAGACAAUGAAAAACCUCAUUCUUUUUAA